rnacentral:ncRNA from 1 species
CUCUGUUUCGAAAGAAUCAGGGCGGAAGGAG